rnacentral:rRNA from 1 species
AUGAACGCUAGCUACAGGCUUAACACAUGCAAGUCGAGGGGCAGCAUCAUCAAAGCUUGCUUUGAUGGAUGGCGACCGGCGCACGGGUGAGUAACACGUAUCCAACCUGCCGACAACACUGGGAUAGCCUUUCGAAAGAAAGAUUAAUACCGGAUGGCAUAGUUUUCCCGCAUGGGAUAAUUAUUAAAGAAUUUCGGUUGUCGAUGGGGAUGCGUUCCAUUAGGCAGUUGGCGGGGUAACGGCCCACCAAACCUACGAUGGAUAGGGGUUCUGAGAGGAAGGUCCCCCACAUUGGAACUGAGACACGGUCCAAACUCCUACGGGAGGCAGCAGUGAGGAAUAUUGGUCAAUGGACGAGAGUCUGAACCAGCCAAGUAGCGUGAAGGAUGACUGCCCUAUGGGUUGUAAACUUCUUUUAUACGGGAAUAAAGUGAGCCACGUGUGGCUUUUUGUAUGUACCGUAUGAAUAAGGAUCGGCUAACUCCGUGCCAGCAGCCGCGGUAAUACGGAGGAUCCGAGCGUUAUCCGGAUUUAUUGGGUUUAAAGGGAGCGUAGGCGGGUUGUUAAGUCAGUUGUGAAAGUUUGCGGCUUAACCGUAAAAUUGCAGUUGAUACUGGCGACCUUGAGUGCAACAGAGGUAGGCGGAAUUCGUGGUGUAGCGGUGAAAUGCUUAGAUAUCACGAAGAACUCCGAUUGCGAAGGCAGCUUACUGGAUUGUAACUGACGCUGAUGCUCGAAAGUGUGGGUAUCAAACAGGAUUAGAUACCCUGGUAGUCCACACAGUAAACGAUGAAUACUCGCUGUUGGCGAUAUACGGUCAGCGGCCAAGCGAAAGCAUUAAGUAUUCCACCUGGGGAGUACGCCGGCAACGGUGAAACUCAAAGGAAUUGACGGGGGCCCGCACAAGCGGAGGAACAUGUGGUUUAAUUCGAUGAUACGCGAGGAACCUUACCCGGGCUUAAAUUGCAGAUGAAUUACGGUGAAAGCCGUAAGCCGCAAGGCAUCUGUGAAGGUGCUGCAUGGUUGUCGUCAGCUCGUGCCGUGAGGUGUCGGCUUAAGUGCCAUAACGAGCGCAACCCUUAUCGAUAGUUACUAGCAGGUCAUGCUGAGGACUCUAUUGAGACUGCCGUCGUAAGAUGUGAGGAAGGUGGGGAUGACGUCAAAUCAGCACGGCCCUUACGUCCGGGGCUACACACGUGUUACAAUGGGGGGUACAGAAGGCAGCUACACGGCGACGUGGUGCUAAUCCCGAAAGCCUCUCUCAGUUCGGAUUGGAGUCUGCAACCCGACUCCAUGAAGCUGGAUUCGCUAGUAAUCGCGCAUCAGCCACGGCGCGGUGAAUACGUUCCCGGGCCUUGUACACACCGCCCGUCAAGCCAUGAAAGCCGGGGGUACCUGAAGUACGUAACCGCGAGGAGCGUCCUAGGGUAAAACUGGUGAUUGGGGCU